ensembl:lncRNA ZRANB2-DT ZRANB2 divergent transcript
GGGCGUGGGGUUCGUUUAGGUUUUGCCCUGUGUAUGACCUCGUUUGGAGCCAUGAAACCAGGUCUGUGAAAUUUAGUGUCUAUUUUCUACCAUAACACAUGUUAAUUUGGACUAACCACAUUUCGAGUGCUCAGUAGCCACAUGUGGCUAGCGACUACUAUCUUGAGCAAUGCAACGAUAAGUCUGCACUUACGUUCAAAAAGACUUAAAGCAGGGAUCGACAACCCCCAGGCCACAGACUGGUAUGGAUCCAUGGCCUGUUAAGAACUGUGCCACACAGCAGGAGGUCAUAAGAACAGACAGUAUUUUUUUGGCGCAGCAAGAACUUCUUAGGCCAUAAAGCAUGACAGACCUCUUUUCCUUAUGCGCUGAAUUGAAGAAGUGCUGACUCUUUUGCUGAUGGUGGCUUUUCUACAAUAUAAAGAUGGAAAUGGGAAGAAGAUGUUCAUUGCAAAUUAAGGAAGCUCUUCCACGAGUUCACGAAUGGAAAUAACAUCAAGAGUUUUUCAUCUUCUUAGUGUGCAAGAUGUCUGAGGAAUAGUCUUAGUGGAUUAUCCCAAACUUGACACAUUUUUUGCAAAAUGCUAUACAAAAAGAAGAUACAUGCGAUUAUGACAAGAUUCUCCACUUGGUGUGACCAGUCUCAUACAACCCAAGGCUGUGUGUCCAAAGGCAACUGUACUGAAUACCGGAAAGCAUGUAUUUGUUUGCUAAAUUGCUCUCUUUCCACCAGUGAUAUCAAUUCUGAAAUACUUUUGAGAUCUUGACAAUAAUCAAAAGGUAGCCAGGUGCAUCGG